GAACAACUUCCAAAGAAGAGAAAAGUAGUAUUAAUGGCCCCAACACGACGCCACACGACACCACUAUCUAUCUAACUGCCUACCUCCAUUAAUGCACCUAAACCCUAACCCCAUGUAUCACAAUCUCAUCUCCAUUUCCCCAUCUCAUGAAAUUCUAAAAAUCCCCCCAAGCAAGACACUGCCAAGUUAUCUCGUAGAUCCCACCGUCGAUUCAAUUAAUUGUUCCUUUCGGUAUCUGCUGCCCUCUGUUCGUCUGCAGGCCAGGUACGGAAGCGAGUAGUAAAUGAUUUGGGGGAAACAAAAUUCAAACAAGAGCUAGUGAGGAAGUCUGGGAAAAAGGUCCCCUCGAUCCUGUUCAAUUCUGACGCGGAUGGAUAUCUUUGAUCGACUGUAUGUUUCCCAUUUCAAUUGCUACGAAACCAGAGGCAUCGAUCAAGGGGAGUCUUUCAAACCAUUCCUUCUUUUUCUUAAUUUUAGAAAAUUGCUUGCUGGCUGUACGUGUUACUGUUUGGUGCGUGUCUGCUACUACUGCCUGAUAAAUAAAUUAAUUUAAACAUAUCUAGGUUUGUGAUUGUGGAAAACCCUAAGAGUGAUUCAGAACUGCAGCUCGAUUUGAUUGAUGUCUUUCCAAAAGGGGAGUCGUCUUUGAUUUCCAGAUCUACCCAUCCUUUUACUGCACAUGUGGAUGAGAAUUUUUGGGCCAAAAGAAAACUGAAAAUAAAUGGUUGGAAGAGAGAGAGGGGGAGGAAGAGAGAGGAAGAAAAUUGACAGAAGAGAGUGAGCACAGGCAGACAAUUGUAUAGAGAGAUAUGCCUUUGUGGGUGCCUGUGCUCGCUUCUCUUUUGUCACCUUCCCUCUCUUAUUUCCUUUCUGGUUUUUCCACCAUUAAUCAUCACAUCAAUUUCUGCUUUUCCUUUUCGACACGCUAAUGAAGCCUUCAGCUUCAGGUCCAUUUUUACUUCCUUCUUGGCGCAAACACAGACACACAGUUCAGUUGGAGGGGGAGAUGUACCAAUCUUAAAUUAUUGGUGAGACAUGGUUUGUUUAAGCCUCGUGUAGACAAGUCUAUGAUCCCUUUGAUCCAUUGUCUAUGGAGAUUGGAGACAGUAAGUUUGAUAGAUAAACUUCUUUACAUUCAAUUUUCAAAUGGGAUGUGAUUUUUGCAAUUAGAAGUCAAUUGUGUGAUCAAAUUUGUUCUUUUAUUUAUUUUUGUGCCUCCUUCAAUGAUUAUUUAGUAAUUGAUUGCAUCACUGCUUCUGGCCUCAUACUUCGGAGUAGUUUGUGGUUUUGGUCUUAAUAUUCAAACAUCACAUUAGACUUUCAUGAGCUUAUGAGAUCAAAAUUGCCAAUUAUUACAGCUCAAGAAAUCAAAGUUCAGUAUUUUUUUUUUUUGGGAUGAUGUGAAACUCAUGCUACUCACUCUGGGUAAACUAUUGGCCCAACUUAAUGGUCAUCAAACUAAGCUCAAGACUUGGAGACGUGCGGGGAUUUGAAUCCAUGACCUUACGGUUAUGAGUUUACCUUCGGACCACCAGAUUAUUCCUUCCGGGAUGUAAUAUGCAAUAGUUUCACUUCUAGACUACAUUGAAUUAGGCUUGGUAACCACUUGAUUUGGUUUGGUUGUUAUGUCUUAUGUCUUUUAAAUGAUGGUGUCUUGAUCUAUAUCAUAAUCAGUUCGAUUUAGUAUAGAUUCAUAUAUAAGAGUUUGAAUCAUCAAA